UACGGAGGGUGCAAGCGUUAUCCGGAUUUACUGGGUUUAAAGGGUGCGUAGGUGGGCAGGAAAGUCAGUGGUGAAAUCUCCGGGCUUAACCCGGAAACUGCCAUUGAUACUAUUUGUCUUGAAUACUUUGGAGGUAAGCGGAAUAUGUCAUGUAGCGGUGAAAUGCUUAGAUAUCAGGAGGAACACCAAUAGCGAAGGCAGCUCGCUGGGACGUUACUGGCACUGAGGCGCGAAAGCGUGGGGAGCGAACAGG
rnacentral:rRNA from 1 species